GGUAUAAAUUAGGGGCAACCAAGGGGGCGCCAUAAUAGGAUCUCGCUCCAUCCUAAAACUUGCCUCGGGCCGGCACUGAGUACCAUUAUUAAAGAGUAUGACCGAUCCCACCGGUUUGAAUCCAAACCUGUUGAAAAUCCAUUAGGUUGGGUUACAUGAUGAAAUGGUGGCGUUGUUAAAUCGGUAUCUGGAUGGUAUCUUCAUCUAAGAAAAUGGCAGACGAAGAAUUACCUAAAGGUUGGGAGAAGCGAAUGAGUCGCUCUACAGGUCAACCUUACUAUCUCAAUAUUUAUACAAAAGAGAGUCAAUGGGAACGACCAA
rnacentral:misc_RNA from 1 species